AGAGUUUGAUCAUGGCUCAGGAUGAACGCUGGCGGCGUGCUUAACACAUGCAAGUCGAACGGUCGCAAGACAGUGGCCCACGGGUGAGUAACACGUAGCUUACCUGCCCCAGAGUGCGGGAUAACGUCUCGAAAGAGACGCUAAUACCGGAUAAGCUCACGUUCUCUAGAGGGAUGUGAGAAAAGGCGCAAGUCGCUUUGGGAGGGGGCUGCGGCCCAUCAGGUAGUUGGUGCGGNAACGGCGCACCAAGCCGACGACGGGUCGGGGGUCUGAGAGGAUGACCCCCCACACUGGGACUGAGACACGGCCCAGACUUCUACGGAAGGCAGCNGUGAGGGAUAUUGCACAAUGGGCGAAAGCCUGAUGCAGCGACGCCGCGUGGGUGAAGAAGGCCUUCGGGUCGUAAAGCCCUUUUACCCCUGACGAUAAUGACGGUAGGGGGUGAAUAAGCCUCGGCUAACUACNUGCCAGCAGCCGCGGUAAAACGUAGGAGGCAAGCGUUAUCCGGAGUUACUGGGCGUAAAGCGCACGCAGGCGGUUCGUUAAGUAACUGGUGAAAUCUCCAUGCUAAACGUGGAGGGUGCCGGUUAGACUGGCGAGCUAGAGGACGAUGGAGGAGCGUGGAAUUCCGGGUGUAGCGGUGAAAUGUGUAGAGAUCCGGAGGAACACCAGUGGUGCAAACGGCGCUCUGGGUCGUACCUGACGCUGAGGUGCGAAAGCUUGGGGAGCGAACGGGAUUAGAGACCCCGGUAGUUCAAGCCGUAAACGAUGCAGNNUGAGUGUCCACCUGUCGCAAGGCAGGGGGGUGNNGAAGCUAACGCGGUAAGUCUNCCNCCUGGGGAGUACGGUNGCAAGAUUAAAACUCAAAGGAAUUGNNGGGGGCCCGCACAAGCAGCGGAGCGUGUGGUUUAAUUCGAGGNUACACGAAGAACCUUACCUGGGUUUGACAUAGGGGUAGUAGGGAGCCGAAAGGUGACCGNCCGCAAGGAGCCUCUACAGGUGCUGCAUGGCUGUNGUCAGCUCGUGUCGUGAGAUGUUCGGUUAAGUCCGAAANCGAGCGCAACCCCNGGCGUUAGUUACACGUGUCUAGCGNGACUGCCUGUGAGAAACAGGAGGAAGGUGGGGANGANGUCAAGUCAGCAUGGCCUUUAUAUCCAGGGCUACACACACGCUACAAUGGGUGGUACAGUGGGAAGCGAACCCGCGAGGGGGAGCCAAUCNUAAAAANCCAUUNGUAGUUCGGAUUGCAGGCUGCAACUCGCCUGCAUGAAGCUGGAGUUGCUAGUAACCGCAGGUCAGCCAUANUGCGGUGAAUACGUUCCCGGGCCUUGUACACACCNCCCGUCACGUCAUGGGAGCUGGUCACGCCUGAAGUCGAUGAGAUAACCGCAAGGGGUCAAUCGCCAAAGGCAGGGCUGGUGACUGGGACGAAGUCGUAACAAGGUAACC
rnacentral:rRNA from 1 species